rnacentral:misc_RNA from 1 species
GGAUGGAUCAUUAACAAAGAUCUCUAUCCUUUACGUUUUGUGAAUCGUUUUGAGAAACAGUCAGUGGUAGGCGCGGCCGUUAGGCCGCGGAUGCUGCUGGCUGUAUCCACUAUCACGUAAAACCCAUACUAAAAUCAGGUUGCUUUGAACAAAAACAACUUUUAGCAAUGGAUCUCUUGGCUCUCGCAACGAUGAAGAACGCAGCGAAUUGCGAUAAGUAGUGUGAAUUGCAGAUACCGUGAAUCAUCAAAUCUUUGAACGCACAUUGCACUGUCUGGAAUUCCGGGCAGUAUGCCUGUUUGAGUAUCAGUAAACACUCUCUCAUUCCACUCCUUAUUGGGUGUAUGAGAGGCUUUGAGUCUUCGCCCUCACACGGCGUGACUUUAAAUGCAUCUGCUGCUAAGCUUUUGGCUUGGAUGCUAGCUGACAGGGUCAAUGGGCGUUUGCCUAUCACUGUUUAGCGUGUAUUCGGGAUCAAUCGCGGAUCGGCAAUAAUCUCCACAUACAGUUUUACUGUGAUUUUGAUCUCAAAUCAGGCAAGAUUACCCGCUGAACUUAAGCAUAUUAAUAAGCGGAGGAAAAGAAACUAACAAGGAUUCCCCUAGUAAUGGCGAAUGAAGCGGGAACAGCUCAAAUUUAAAAUCUCCUCGGAGAAUUGUAGUUUAAAGAAGUGCUUUCGUUGGCAGCCUGGGUAAAAGUCUCUUGGAACAGAGCAUCAUAGAGGGUGAGAAUCCCGUCUUUGACCCAGUUACUGCCACAAUGUGAGGCAUCUUCAAAGAGUCGGGUUGUUUGGGAAUGCAGCUCAAAGUGGGUGGUAUAUUCCAUCUAAAGCUAAAUACAGGCGAGAGACCGAUAGCGAACAAGUACCGUGAGGGAAAGAUGAAAAGAACUUUGAAAAGAGAGUUAAACAGUACGUGAAAUUGCUAAAAGGGAAACGUUUGAAAUCAGUGUUGGCUGCGUGAAAUCAGCUAGUCAGAAAUGGCUGGUGCACUUUUGCGUUGCCAGGUCAACAUCAGUUUUGGCUGGAGCAAAUUAGUGCAGGAAGGUGACUCCCUCGGGAGUGUUAUAGCCUGCAUGAGUGCUCUGGCUGGGACUGAGGCCCGCAGGCAGCAAUGUCUUAGGAUGUUGACGAAAUGGUUUUAAAUGACCCGUCUUGAAACACGGACCAAGGAGUCUAACACAUAUGCGAGUGUUUGGGUGGCAAGCCCAUACGCGGAAUGAAAGUAAAUGUAGGUGGGAUCCUUCUGGGUGCACCAUCGACCGGUCUGGAUUUUUAAUGAUAGAUCUGAGUAAGAGCAUAUUUGUUGGGACCCGAAAGAUGGUGAACUAUGCCUGAAUAGGGCGAAGCCAGAGGAAACUCUGGUGGAGGCUCGUAGCGGUUCUGACGUGCAAAUCGAUCGUCAAAUUUGGGCAUAGGGGCGAAAGACUAAUCGAACCAUCUAGUAGCUGGUUCCCUC